rnacentral:rRNA from 1 species
AUGAACGCUGGCGGCGUGCCUAAUACAUGCAAGUCGCGCGAACAGACGAGGAGCUUGCUCCUCUGACGUUAGCGGCGGACGGGUGAGUAACACGUGGAUAACCUACCUAUAAGACUGGGAUAACUUCGGGAAACCGGAGCUAAUACCGGAUAAUAUAUUGAACCGCAUGGUUCAAUAGUGAAAGACGGUUUUGCUGUCACUUAUAGAUGGAUCCGCGCCGCAUUAGCUAGUUGGUAAGGUAACGGCUUACCAAGGCAACGAUGCGUAGCCGACCUGAGAGGGUGAUCGGCCACACUGGAACUGAGACACGGUCCAGACUCCUACGGGAGGCAGCAGUAGGGAAUCUUCCGCAAUGGGCGAAAGCCUGACGGAGCAACGCCGCGUGAGUGAUGAAGGUCUUCGGAUCGUAAAACUCUGUUAUUAGGGAAGAACAAAUGUGUAAGUAACUAUGCACGUCUUGACGGUACCUAAUCAGAAGGCCACGGCUAACUACGUG